GCUGAUACUGUAUCAGAGAUGUUAUGUUUUUAGCAGAGAUCAGAUGUGAUGUUGUUUUCCCAUUCUUUUUUUAGAGUGUGCAGAGUUUUAACGUCCAUCCAUUGAUGAGGCUAGCAAGACCUUCAUACAACUUCAGCCAAUUGCAACAAAUGUGGUGGAAUUUCUUCUCUGGACAGAAUCCUCGAAACCCUUUCCUUUCGUCCUGGCCAUGGGAAACAUGCAGCAGAUCUCUCAAUCUUUUUUCUCAACCAGUCUCUCUGAUGUAGCCAAUACGGAAGUGACUUAAACUGCAAUUCGGCCAAGAUGGCGACGGCACGCACCGCCUACUUUAAGCUUCAAAAAUGCUCUUCACAAACCAAUGGGUGAUGUCACGGACACUACUUGCAUAUUUUUUACAGUCUCUGGUUUAAAGGCAUUUUAAGUGCUUGAAAAUAAAUACCCCAGGCAAUGUGCUUCUAUGGGAAUUCCUGUAGUCUGUCAUUUUUCAAAUGGAUAAAUCCUCUCCUGUUCGUUUCCUUUGUACAUCUUUGUUCGCGACGAGUAACUUUAAUAAAUGAAGUAUUUUUAGUCAAAUACAUUCCAUUCUGUGAAACUUAAAACAUUUGUUCUGUAAAAAACUUUACACAUCUAUGAAUGAUUUUACUUUUAAUUUAACAAUUACAUUGUUUCUUUUCUUACACUGCUGUAGUUUUGUUUAUGUACAUUUCAGUAUUUCAUUUAUAUACUGUAAAAUUACAAAUUCUGUCUUAAAUUCAAACGAAUUGAUUCAACCUGUUACGUUGUUACUUCAAUGUGCAUAAUUUAUGAUAUUUUAUAAAUAUAUUUAUACUUGGGUCA